CCAGAAUCUCUGAAUAUGACCUUAUUUGGAGACAGAGUCAUUGCAAAUAUAAUUAGUUAAGAUGAAGCAAUAAUUGCAUAGAGUAAGCCCUUAAUGACUGCUAUUGUUAUAAAAAGAGAAGAGACAGAGACACAGAGCAAAGAUUUCUGCAUGUGGACGUAGGCAGAGCUCGCACUUACGCAUUUAUAAUCCAAAGAAGGCCAAGGGUAACUGGUAACUCUCAGAAGCAGAAAAAGAAGCUUGGGACGGACUCCCCUUCAGAGCUCUGUAGGGACCAAUUUUGCUGAUCCUUCAAGAUUGGAAAAAGAAGGUGAUGAGCAUUUUUAAACUCAGUUCACUGAGCACUGAGCAAUUGCUUAAGGGAAGGUCAAAGAACAGAAAAAAAUAUUUGAAGAAAAGAAGAAAAGAUCUAACCUUCAUUAUACAGGUGCAAACAGGAUUGCACAGAUUGCCUUUUGUGAUAAAAAGAGGAAGAAAAAUGGCAGCAACCCAGAUUAUUAUUAUACUUAAAUGGUCUCUCACACUUUAUGAAGAUCUUUGUGUAAAAGUAUUAAGCAGUCCAUUUAACAGAGAAGUAUGUUUGUUUCACAUGUAUCAGAAAAUGUGAGUCUUAAUUAAAAUAGAUCCUGACGUCAAAUGCUAUUGAUGAGCAGUUAUUAUUCUAUAUGCUAUAUUUUAUAUCAGUGUAAUGUGUAUGAAGUUUUAAAAGACCUUCUAGGUUUCUGCCAGAUAGUGAUACAGUGAUAAAAUAUCAGCAGUUCAAAAAAAAAAGAAUGAAAGGUUUAUAUGAAUGAUGACACUGAAAAAAAAAAACAGACCCUCAGAACUAAGGUAUCUCUUGAUAAAUAAAGCUGUUAGAUGUUAUGUGGCAAUAUCAGAUGUCAGGAGACAGAAAGAAAGUAUUAGUUGCUUCCAAGGGAUCUGAUAUAAUGAAUAUAGUAAUUAGGUAGAUUGAUCACGGUCCCUCGGUUAUAGAAUCAAGUUGAUAAGACUCUACUAGUGAGUGGAAGUUGGUGGGGUCAAGAUUUGUUAAGAAAAUCUUAUGUAUUGUUUAGCAAACUAUAUGUAGAAGAAACUACUAGAGACAUAGAGAAUUACACAAUGUUUAUAGGUAGACAUAAAACUGAAUAAAACUUCAUGUAAUGGUUGUUAUAUAUGCUACUUAGUUUUUCACCAACUUAUUUCUUUUAAUAUUUCAUAAAAAUUAUGUUUUUAAAAUUAAUUUAUAUUCAUAUACAUAGUUCUAGUUUAGUCACAAUGUUUCAGAGUGCAUACAUAUGAAGUAAAAUAUAAAGAAUGUAAAGGGGUGAUAAAUAUAAAUUCAGAAAUGUAAAUAUCUCUAUGUGGAAGAAGAAUACAAUCAGUAAAAUAUGUAGGAAUGAUUCAACUCUGUUUUAAGCUUUAUUUGUUAAUAGUGGAGACAGAAUUUUUUGUAUUCUUUAUUCAUUUUAUAUUCUUGAAAUAGUUCAAAAUAAAUUUAAGUUUUCUCCAAAA
rnacentral:lncRNA from 10 species